AUCUAGCAUAAAGAUGCUUAGCAACAGGGCUCAUUUUACUGCAGAAUUGAGUUGACUACUUUCAAUUUUAUUGGCCCAACAUCUGUUAGUGGAAGGUUACAAAUUUUCAAGUUACUCAGAGCUCUUCAGGACGGUGUAGCUUGAAAGCUUGUACUUACCACCAACAGAAUUUGGUCUAAUAAAAGAUACUAUCUCACCUACCUUGUCUCUCUCUCAUAUCUUGAGGAACCAAAAGACUACAACAACAUGGCAAUUCAAUUUUAUUUUUCUGUGUAUUCCCCUACUGCCAUAAGUGGUGAUUGAUUAAUUUUGCUGAAACUGCCACACCAUUAAAGUCACAUUAUUUCACAGACUGAUGUGGGGCUUGAACCUAUGACUCUUGGAGUGUAAGGGAUUUCAGUGUUAAAUGUAUCUGUAGCAAAAUUAAUCAUUUUUAUUAUAUACAAAUUCUUAACAUAAGUCUCAUCUAUAAACUGUAGGAUUGUAGACCUAGGGCCAGUUAUGUGCGAACCAGAGGUUUAGAAAAUUGCUGCAGUAAUGUUGGAAACUGGUCACUGGUGUAGGAGAUGGACCAUUGUAAGCGUAUACAAAAAGUAGCAGUGAUAAAUUGGAUUAUUUUAUAUAACCACACAUAGAGCUUUCCUCCAACUUCCUUAUCUAACUACAUGUAUGAAUUUAACUAGGGUAAGAGAAAUGCAAUAAAUGCCAAUAUUACUGUUUCCAAACUUCAUACACUUAAGUCGUUAGCUUUAUUGUCAAGUAUCGGGGUCGCAUCUGAAGAAGUGAGGUUUUUUUACCCAUGAAAGCUUAUGCCCAAAUAAAUCUGUUUAAGGUGCCACCAGACUCCUUGUUAGUUUUAUUGUGUAUUCUGAGUAAUGGAUCAGGUGAAAUGGUUCCAGCAUCCCCAUCUUAGGGCACUUUCUUUUUACACAACCAGUUCUGGAUUUAUUGUGGAGUUCCUUCCAGCUCCUCCUACUUCCCUCUGGUUAGCAUGCUUAUCCCCUGUCAUAUUGCUCGCAAACAGCUGCAGCUGCUCUCAUACAUAAUUUAAUUUCCAAAAUUAUUGAUAGUGUACUUUAUGCAAUGAAGGAGUUGUCUGCCUUCAGUUUUGACGUACAUUAAGUAUCCCACUGGUGCCUGUGUGGUAACUUAGCAAGCUUACAACCUAAUCAAUUAAACUUACUGUGAUAUAACUUGCAUAUCAUAUUAAAUCCAAUGAAAAUAUACUCCAUUGUCACUUCAUAGAAAAUUUAUAACACAGCUGCUAGUGAAAUCCAGAUUCUAGUAACCAAAAAUUAACAAAUGUUGUUGGGUAUAUAAGUAAAAUGCACUUCUAAUCUGCAAUAUACAUAAUAGAUGACAAAUUCUGACGUGUGUUCAUGUGAUGUGUAUGUUCUACUUUCUUGUACAGCUGCCUAUUCCCAGUAUUGGCUGAUUGCUCAUGAAGGAAGAAAUGAAGGUGCCGGAGUCAUCCUAUACCUUAAAAUGGCUUAUGGAAACUCAGGCAGAUUGGUUUGUAGACCAUGGUGUGCCCUCAUGGUUCCUCAGAGUCAUCCCCAGAAAUGCACUGUCCACGCUUCCUCACUGAGGAGUUAAAUAAUGGAUGGCUCAUUAUUUCAGGAAAGAUUACAAAAUAUAAGAGAUUGGAAGACUUGGUGAACUUUCAUAAACAUAGUUCUAUCAGACCUUACAAUGAACUGUUAAUCCAACUAUGUGGAUAGGGGAGUGAUUAAAAUACUGAUUAUGAAGAAUUGUUUUCUCACACAGUUAUUUUAAAUAAUGAUAUGAGUUGUGCAAAUCUCUUAGUGGCUUUGCUCCCUGAGAAUCUGACUGAAACCAGCGGUUGCAUUUCAGGAUCCACACUAGCACAGCACACUAUUCCAGGAAACAGAACAACAAUGCAACUUACUCUUCCAUCAGAUUAGGAAGCUCCCCCACUCCCACCCAGGACAGUGGCAUCCAAAUGAUCCUUCAACAUUAGUGACAAAGAACCUUCUUCAGCACAAACUGAUUGUCCUAGCUGCAGUUUGAAUGGACUUCAUGCUCCAGUUACAGAAAAAAUGAAGUCUGAGUCAAAUAGAUCUAGUAAGUAAGAUAGUUUCAUUACACAUAUUAAAUCUAUCAGAUUUCAAGUUCUCAGUUUAAAGCUUUUUGUAUUUACAACAUGCAAACAAAAACUAUUGAUAGAACAAUCUGAAUUGAGCUAUAAAUGGAGAAAACAUCAAAACUGAUGGAAAACAAUCUGUAAAACAACAGAACAAUCUAUAAUGGAUUAGGAAGAAUAUACUAGGAUAUUUAAGGAGGAUCAUGGAUUAAGAUUAAAUUUACCUUUAGAUACAAUAAAAGAUGCGAAUUCGUGUCCUCUCUCUCUCUCUCUCUCUAUUUUUUUUUGGUAACAACUUAAAGCAUUAACCUUCAGCAGCAUCUGUGGAGCAAUUCCACUUAAUCUUGGAGGAUUUCUCUAGCACUAGAAAAAACUAAAGGAUGGCUUUUAAAGUGGAAUAGUCAGAUAAAGACUUGAUAGUAGUGUACCAGGUAGGAUACUGUAUUUGCCUAACACAUUGCUGGAAAGUUACACACCUCUACCCUGAUAUAACGUGACCCAAUAUAACACAGGUUUGCAUACAACGCGGGAAAGCAGCGCUUCAGCGGAUCAGCGCAUCAGCUCCUAGCCACAGCACUCUGCUUCUCGCCACCAGUGAGUGUGGGGAGGUUGGGGAAAGGACACACCUGCAGUGGGAAGC